AUUGAACGCUGGCGGCAUGCUUUACACAUGCAAGUCGGACGGCAGCGGGGUAGUGCUUGCACUACUGCCGGCGAGUGGCGAACGGGUGAGUAACAUAUCGGAACGUACCGAGCAGUGGGGGAUAACUAAUCGAAAGAUUAGCUAAUACCGCAUAUAUUCUGAGGAAGAAAGCAGGGGACCUUUGGGCCUUGCGCUGUUUGAGCGGCCGAUAUCUGAUUAGCUGGUUGGUGGGGUAAAGGCCUACCAAGGCGACGAUCAGUAGCGGGUCUGAGAGGAUGAUCCGCCACACUGGGACUGAGACACGGCCCAGACUCCUACGGGAGGCAGCAGUGGGGAAUUUUGGACAAUGGGGGCAACCCUGAUCCAGCCAUGCCGCGUGUCUGAAGAAGGCCUUCGGGUUGUAAAGGACUUUUGUCCGGGAAGAAAAGCGCGAUGUUAAUACCAUUGCGUGCUGACGGUACCUAAAGAAUAAGCACCGGCUAACUAC
rnacentral:rRNA from 1 species